UAGGUUCGAUUCCGGAGAGGGAGCCUGAGAAACGGCUACCACAUCUACGGAAGGCAGCAGGCGCGCAAAUUGCCCAAUCCUGACACGGGGAGGCAGUGACAAGAAAUAACAACUCUAGGAUUUCUUAGAAGUGUAAUGAGGAUAAUUUACAAACCUUACCGAAUGCAAUUGGAGGGCAAGUCUGGUGCCAGCAGCCGCGGUAAUUCCAGCUCCAAUAGCGUAUAUUAAAGUUGUUGCAGUUAAAAAGCUCGUAGUUGAAGUUCUGAUUGCUCAGGUUUCCAGCCUUAGGCGGAGAUACUGACAGUCAUCCGCUUGCAAACAUAUGUUCGAUCUUCACCGGUUGGCUAUGUGAGUAAGCACUUUACCUUGAGAAAAACAGAGUGUUCCAGGCAGGUUUGUCCGGGAUGCAUUAGCAUGGAAUAAUAGAACAUGACUGAAGUCGAUUUAUUGGUUUAAGGCUUUAGUAAUGAUUAAUAGGAACAGUCGGG
rnacentral:rRNA from 1 species